GCCGGGCAUGGUGGUGCAUGCCUGUAAUCCCAGCUACUCAGGAGGCUGAGGCGGGAGAAUCACUUGAACCCAGGAGGUAGAGGUUGCAGUGAGCUGAGUUCGCACCACUGUACUCCAGCCUGGGCGACAGAGCGAGACUCCGUCUCAA
rfam:Homo sapiens chromosome 6, GRCh38 reference primary assembly.